rnacentral:rRNA from 1 species
AUCCUGGCUCAGGAUGAACGCUGGCGGCGUGCCUAAUACAUGCAAGUCGAACGCGCAGCGAGAGGUGCUUGCACCUUUCAAGCGAGUGGCGAACGGGUGAGUAACACGUGGAUAACCUGCCUCAAGGCUGGGGAUAACAUUUGGAAACAGAUGCUAAUACCGAAUAAAACUUAGUAUCGCAUGAUAUCAAGUUAAAAGGCGCUACGGCGUCACCUAGAGAUGGAUCCGCGGUGCAUUAGUUAGUUGGUGGGGUAAAGGCUUACCAAGACGAUGAUGCAUAGC